GAAAUUGAGAGCUGCUUCUCAGAGCAAGAAAUAAGAAGUCGGUCUCACUCCAGUGGCCAAAGUAAUAGAGAAAUGACGGGAGCAACAGGCAGCGGUUAUUUACAGCUUUUAUUUAUUUAUUUGCUCAGACGUUAUCUGGUGCCCGUGUUGAAGAAGAGGCGAAAAGCAAUAUUCAUUUUUUUUAAUGGCGCUGCCCUCCACAGAUAAUGUCCCGCUCUUAUUUCCUUUCUCCUGGGUUUCUCAUGCAACAAAGUGUGCCAGGAAUGCAAAGUGCUGCUUUGUCCUCACAUCCACUCAGCGGAACCGGCUACAGUGAUCGACAUCGGCAUCUACCUGUGUUAGACUGAGGACCCUGCAGCACAAAGCAGGGUGAAUGAGCGCAUUCUGGGUGACGAGCAGUUUUCUUUCUGGCCAAUUAGCACCAAAUGUCCAUUCUAUGACCUGAGAGCGGACGGACGGAACCAGCACUUCUCAUUCCACGCAUGCUUUCUUGUUGAUCUGCCUCUUUUGUUUUGGCUUGUUUUUUCCCUGUGUGUUUUAUUCAUGAUUCUCAGGCCUCUUCAGCGUCAUCAUUUACAAUGCAAUCAUUCUCUACGCGUCGGUGCGGCUUUGGGGGGAAAUCGGCCUCCUCUGGUUUAAGGACACCCGGAGGCCACGAGAACAAAUACUUCCCAGAUGCCAUUUGAGAGCAAGCGGAGCGGCGGCGUGCUGGUGUUUGAGAGGGCCGCCUUGGCAAGCUGCCCUUUCCACAGACUGAUCUGCCACUGGAUUGGAUGAGACCGGGGUAAAUAAAUAGGAGGGGACGCUGCAGGAGCAGAGGGACGGCAGCAGGCGUGAUCACAGCGGCAGGGUGAGGCCUGGUUCAUUUCAGGGCACCAACUGCUGCUGUUGUUGUUCAGAGCCUGAGGGAGGAAAGCACCAAUCAAUAAAUUGUUUGACAGCAUUUUCAUGCACUUCUACUUUGCUGAAGAGGCCCCUGUGGCUCACACCUCGUGCCACUGCGACUGUGUCUCCCCAGCAUUACAAUAUGCUCACGCCGCCCGGAGGAGCAGGUGCAGUGACGCUGAGGAACGUGCAGCUUCACGCAGACAGCGGGCGACCUGCACCCCCGGCGGAACCGAGAGCAGCGUUCAAGAGAAGCAUCCUCGCUUCUCUGAGCACGAAUUCAUCAAAUUAAAUCCAAUUUCAAAAGUCAUUCACCUUUGGUAAAUGAGGGUCGCAGCAGACAUUUCUGAGCUGGAUGCCUUCAGAGCCUCGGCUGGUGAAACCACUGCUGUCUGUGGGUCAAGUGAGUGUUUGGAAAGUUUAUGGGUGGUGAACUUGCCUCGUGGCCAUUUGGCUGCUUCGCCUCAACCCUCCAUCCUCCAGUCAAGGCUUUUACUCAGCAGCAGAAUAAGUAAAAGUAAUAAAAAGUGUCUUCAGACAGAGAACUUUUUGGAAACACGUUUGUCUGAGAUGGUAAAUAAGUUUGUUAUGCUUGGCGCUGCUUUCGUGCAUAUGGACAUCAUUUGCAGGAGAUCAGCUGCUGUGUAUGUUGAGCAGCGCAGCGCAGAGGUGGGUGAGUCUGCAGACGUCUCCCUCAUUAUUCAGCUCUUGCUUACUGUAAUGUUCCUACGCUGUUAAAAUAAAUGAGCAGCACUCAGGUUUUAGUGUUUAUGGGCCCACAUUAACAGCCUUUUACUCCCGUGGUUUCUAAUGAGGACUUAGAGGAAGAAAACUCUGUCACAUGCGUGUUGUGACAAGGACUUUUACUGAGCAUAUAAGCAAUAGUUCAUUAUUACCUCUGUGG